GCAGUAGCCGCGGUAAUACGGAGGGUGCAAGCGUUAAUCGGAAUUACUGGGCGUAAAGCGCACGCAGGCGGUCUGACAAGUCAGAUGUGAAAUCCCCGGGCUUAACCUGGGAACUGCAUUUGAAACUGUCAGGCUGGAGUCUUGUAGAGGGGGGUGGAAUUCCAGGUGUAGCGGUGAAAUGCGUAGAGAUCUGGAGGAAUACCGGUGGCGAAGGCGGCCCCCUGGACAAAGACUGACGCUCAGGUGCGAAAGCGUGGGGAGCAAACAGGAUUAGAUACCCGCGUAGUCCCUGUCUCUUAUAC
rnacentral:rRNA from 1 species